ACCUUCUCACUGAGCUCCUGUCUGUCACUGAUGGCAGUCUUGGAUUCGCACGAGAAGAACAGCACUGCACGGAGCCGGUGCUGCUGUAGCCUCUGUUUCAUUGGAGGUGUGCAUACCUGGCUGCUCUGUGGACAAAU
ensembl:snoRNA SNORA75 Small nucleolar RNA SNORA75